AACCACCUGGAGUCGGACUGGAUCCAGGGUCAUACUGGUCCAACUUGGCAACCAGACUGAGUCCAGGGUGAAGACUCUGGUGAAUAAAAUUUUGUUUUAAGGCUGAACCAAAAGGUUAACCUAACCAAAGAGAAUUGUGAAUUACAGUGACCACAGCGGAGAACCUUUAACCUAGAGAAGCUUAUCCAUUUAGGAGAUGCCCUAGAGAAAAUGGGGUCUCAGCCAAGGACUCGCCAUAAAAAGUAGACAGAAGUUUAUUUAUCCCCCUCUACAGUUUCUGUGACCAGGAUGAGACCCGCUGGGACACCUCACGUGCUUCGGAGCCUGCAGAUGGGAUCCUGGGAAAACUGGCACAAGCCAGGAAAGGAAACUUACUUUUCUACUCUGAUGCUUUUGCAAAUAAAUGUUCCUACAAAAGUGCUUCUUCAUCUUCCAGACGACUCAUGGGAAGGACUCUAACAAGUACAAGUUUCUGAUAACUUCCAGACCACACCACUGAGUAAGAAUUGGCAGAGCUCUAAGGGAAAGACUGACAGUUUCAUAAAACUAACAAAAGAUCAAGAUCAACAAGAAUUAGUUACAUUGGACUGAAUGAACUGAUAAAGAUGAUUUUGUAAUUUUUAUGACUUUUGUUUGAAACACUGUGGUGUUGUUUUUCUAGAGUUAGGAAAAUCUGUCUUUUCUCUUAAACUAUCAUUAGUUUGGUAAAAUGUACCUUUGUAAACAAAGAUGAAACAUUUAUCUUUUCUCCUUAUCUGAUUCCUCCAGAAUUUGGAAACUCCAUUCUUAUUUUCAUGGAGAUACAGUUAUUUGCUUAAGUUCAAUAAGAAUCUGUUCUCCUUGCAACAGGAUACAAUUGGAAACAUUGGUUAUAUGACCAAGACUUUGAUGAAAUGUCAUAUUUGAGAAUAUGCAUAAAAUCAGAUGUGAGAAGAUAGUUUGAAGGAACUAAAGUUGACUUAUGGAGCCAAAAAAGUCCCUGGGAACAAAGAGCCUGGCACCUUGCUUACAGAGUUCUCAGCAACCUUAGCAGGUGAGUAAGGUAGGUCACUUCCUGGCAGACCCAGGAACUUCAAGAUAUCCUGGGGACCUCAUGAAGAGAAGAAUUCACCCAAACAGAUAGGUAUUGCAAGUGAAGUCUGAUGGUGAGUUCUUGGCCUGGCUUCUUAGCCUGGAGAGGCUAUAAAAGUCCUAUCUAAGACUCCCUGUGAAAAGUUCCAGAAAAGCAGAUUUUUAAAAGGUCUAAUAUGGUCAAUCGCUAUUCUUGCUGCACUUAUGUAAAUAAUCAGGCCAACUUUAAUAAGAUUAGAUUUAUUAUGCAAACAAA